AACGAACGCUGGCGGCAUGCCUAACACAUGCAAGUCGAACGAGACCUUCGGGUCUAGUGGCGCACGGGUGCGUAACGCGUGGGAACCUGCCCUUAGGUUCGGAAUAACUCCCCGAAAGGGGUGCUAAUACCGGAUAAUGUCUUCGGACCAAAGAUUCAUCGCCUUUGGAUGGGCCCGCGUUGGAUUAGCUAGUUGGUAGGGUAAAAGCCUACCAAGGCGACGAUCCAUAGCUGGUCUGAGAGGAUGAUCAGCCACACUGGGACUGAGACACGGCCCAGACUCCUACGGGAGGCAGCAGUGGGUAAUAUUGGACAAUGGGCGAAAUCCUGAUCCAGCAAUGCCGCGUGAGUGAUGAAGUCCUUAGGGUUGUAAAGCUCUUUUACCCGGGAUGAUAAUGACAGUACCGGGAGAAUAAGCUCCGGCUAACUCCGUG
rnacentral:rRNA from 1 species